GAGAAACCACCAUUCUUUCAUUAUUGUAAAGUUUAUCAAUUUCUUCUCUAAGGAGAGCUUUGUAUUUCUAUCAUUAUCAAAUAAUACAAACCCCCUUGUUUUUUACCAGAACACUAUGCAUACUAUACACACUUUCUUUUAAAAUCAUCACUAUUUCCAACUCAUUUGAAAAUUUAAAACUUUCCUUUAAAACUCCACAUCAUUUUGCAAAAGCCAAUCAACCACAAAAAAAAAAUAAUCAUAGAAUAAAAUAUAUAAUCAGUCACACACAUAACUCACAAUAUAUUAAAAUAGCAUGAAAUGUUAUAAAAUUAGUUCUUUGUCAUUCUUUCUUAACAGUAAAAUAUUUUGUUAUUAAUUCAAAACAUAAACCCUACGUGCAUGAGUGUACGACGAAAAUGCCCUCGCUUUGGCCACUUCUAUUGUGUCUUGUUUCUAUAGUGGUUUAGCAACAAACAUAAUCAAAUUCGAAUUUUGGAUGAGAAAGUUAUUACGUAAUAUUUUAGUGUUGCUCUCAAAUCUCCUAUAUUUUUAUCAUGGAAUUUUACUCUAGUAAUGUUCA
rnacentral:lncRNA from 1 species